AUGAGAAAGGCUGCAUUACGGGAACAGUUUUUGUGGAUGGUGCAACAUAGAAAAAUGCUGCAUAAAGUCUACCAUAUUACCCGGGACUUUGAUUUUACAAAAACUGUCCAGACCCUCCUAGAAAACCGCAGCUUCUAUGUGGAGUUUCAGGGCCAGAAAAGCAGAUGGAGGAGGCAAAAGAAUGGUUUACCCCAAGGCAGCGUUCUUGCACACAAACAGAUUCCCAGAGCAUGGAGGAAAACUAAGAUCAUUGCCAUUUUAAAACCUGGUAAAGAUGCCUCCAAUGCCAGGAACUAUCGACCAAUCUCCCUCUUAUGUCAUCUAUAUAAAGUCUAUGAGAGGGUGCUAUUAAAUCGACUAGGACCUGUUAUCGAACCCAAGCUUAUUGCACAACAAGCAGGUUUCAGACCAGGGAAAAACUGUACAGGUCAAAUUCUUCAUCUGACUGAGCAUAUCAAGGAAGGCUAUGAGAAAGGCUGCAUUACGGGAACAGUUUUUGUGGACCUUACAGCAGCCUAUGACACGGUGCAACAUAGAAAAAUGCUGCAUAAAGUCUACCAUAUUACACGGGACUUUGAUUUUACAAAAACUGUCCAGACCCUCCUAGAAAACCGCAGCUUCUAUGUGGAGUUUCAGGGCCAGAAAAGCAGAUGGAGGAGGCAAAAGAAUGGUUUACCCCAAGGCAGCGUUCUUGCACCGACCUUAUUUAACAUCUUCAUGAACGACCAGCCACAACCACCACUCACAAAGAGUUUUAUAUAUGCUGAUGACCUUGGCCUCACAACACAAGCGAAAGAUUUUGAAACAGUUGAAAAGCAACUCACUAAUGCCUUGAAAGAUCUCUCCAGCUACUACAAAGAGAACCACCUGAAGCCUAACCCUGCCAAGACACAAGUGUGUGCUUUCCACCUACGUAACCGUGAAGCCAACAGGAAACUGAAAGUUACUUGGGAAGGCCAAGAGCUCGAACACUGUUUCCAUCCUAAAUAUCUUGGUGUCACCUUAGAUCGAACAUUAACAUAUAGGAAACACUGCAUGAACACCAAGCACAAAGUAGCUGCAUGCAACAACAUCCUGCGGAAACUGACUGGCAGUGCAUGGGGUGCAGACCCACAAGUAAUAAGAACAUCAGCCCUGGCCUUGUCUUUCUCAACUGCAGAGUACGCCUGUCCUGUCUGGCAAAAGUCUGCCCAUGCGAAGCAAGUGGACAUAGCACUAAACGAAACAUGCAGAAUAAUCACAGCAUGCCUUAAACCUACACCUGUUGAUAAACUCUACAAGUUAGCUGGCAUUGCCCCUCCUGACGUGCGACGGGAAGUAGUUGCUAACUGCGAGAGAAAUAAGGUCGAACAUUGUGAAAGCCAUCCACUGCAUGACUAUCACCCUCCUCCCACCAGACUCAAAUCAAGGAAGGGUGUACAGAACUGAGGGUGACAGGGAAUGGAAUCCCUUUUGAAUCCCACCGCUGCCACCAAAAUUGUACAGAACUGAGGGUGACAGGGAAUGGAAUCCCUUUUGAAUCCCUCCGCUUGCCACCAAUAUGUACAGAGGUGAGGUGUCUGACAGGAAUGUGUGACAGAGAUGGAAUCUUUUUGAUCUCCCUCACACACACACAGAUACCACCACUUAAUAAAGAUGUCUUAUGAGAGAUGAUGGUUAAUUAAUUAUUUUGUUGACUAUCUUCUUCGCUGCCACCAAUGGAGGAGACGUGAGGCAGAUGGCACUGGUUCUUUUAAGCUGGUCUCUAUUUGUUUUACUUCAGAUGUUGUUGUUGCUUAACUUAAUAUAAGAGUAUGACAGAGGCUUAGUUAGAAUAAAAUCAAAACAAGUUUAUUGCAGGUACAGAGCUUGAUGGUUUCAUAUAACUUGUUAAAGGCACUUCGCUUAAUGGUUACAAACGGAUAUGAGGUGGUCAAACUUUCAAAAUAUUCCUUUCUCUGGAUUACACUAAACCCUGAUCCUCCUGGAUCCCCUGGGAUUAAUUUUCCCUAAUCCACAGGCUCUAUAAAUGACCCUAGACAAGUCACCUAACUUGCCUAGUCUGGUCUAACCUAGAUCUGACUCAAAUCCUUCUAUUUGAGCCAACCUGAUUCUCCUCACAAGAAUCAGAUCCUCCACUGUGACUAGAAAAUCACAGACUGCCUAAAAUAAUUCUCUUUAUUUUAGACCUGACUCAAACUCUUCUAUUUGAGCCACCCUGAUCCUCUACACAAGAAUCAGUUCCUUCACUGUGAAUGGAAAUCACAGACUGCCUGGGUUUUUAAAUAUUCCCCCUUUUCCUUUCCAAGCAGCGGUUGGCUCCGCCCCUGUUGCUAGGGUAACCCGUCUUAGCAUUCUAAGAUGGCUACCUUCCCCCAUACAUCAUCAAUUCAAAUACUCACCAUUUUAAACUUAGCCAAACCUGACUGUUCAAACAAAAUCAAAUACACAUGUCAUCUAUAAACAAAAUAUAAUCAUACACUUCUUCACAAAGGGCUUCAUGAGAACCACCACUCCUCUUGAUGUUCCUCCAGCAACAGCAAGGGUGUCCCUCUGGGCAGCUAAACCUGGCAAUUCUAACUGGAUGGCCCCCAUGAGGGUCUUCCUCCAGGGGCAAACCAAGAAUGGGCAACUUGGAAGUCCCUGAACAGACUCAGAAGCGGAGUGGGCAGAUCUAAAGACAACUUGGCAAGGUGGCACUACCUGGAGGAAUCCUCCACCUUGUGUGACUGUGGAGCAGAACAAACAACUCCGCAUAUGUAUGCUUGCCCACAAUGUCCUGCCUCAUGCACGGAGGAGGAGUUGUUUAAAGCUACGGACAAUGUGGUUGCUGUUGCCCGUUUUUGGUCUAAAACUAUUUAGCUGCUUGUGAUUUCCUUUUUUUUAUCAUUUUAAAAUGUAUUUGUUAUGCAAUGCUUUUGACACGAAAUAAAUAAAUAACCUUUGCCUGAAUUGAUUCCAGCUGAGGAUUCUGUAACCAGAGAUGAGGUUGCUAGCAGGCAUUCUGAGCCACAUUCCUGUUUUCAGUCAAGGCCAGUUCAAAGGCCAGAUGGGCCUUUGAGGAUGGAUUUGACAGAAGGGAGAUGUUUACCCUGUUGCACCUCAGCCUUGAUUCACCUUGCUCUAACACACAAACUCCACAGCAGAUUUGAGUCUGUUUAGUUUAUUAAAGAUAGUAAAAAAAGUUCUUCAAAAAGCAAAAGUAAAGCACCAAAAGUCAUAUACAAAUAUAGUCUUGAGAUAUAAGUCCAGAGCUUACAAGGAACAAACAACAUCCAAAGAGAGCAUGGCAAAUUCCAAGACACAUGGAUACAUGGGCUGCAAUAUAAUCCAAAGCACAGCAGGAAAACUGGAGCUUGCUUCUCCAGUAGCGAGAAAGUUGCUUUGACAAAAGCUUUUCCCCAAAAUCACCCCUUUUAACACUCUUUGCAAAACAUGAAAGCAUUUCUCUGCCCCCUCACCUCCCACCACCUGUUUGCAAUUCUCACACUAUGCCGUACGCUCAAUUCCAAAUGCUCAGCUCUAUCUAAGGAGCCCAUCCCAUCAAGGUCAGCUUGCUCCUUAUUUCGCUGAGACUCAUUAUUAAGCUGGGAACCUUCUAUCCUCACUUCCUCCAUUCCCUGUCAGUGUUCACCUGGCUGGCUUCAGUGGCUUCAGGGUCAUCAGCUCCAACCCUCCCUGUGGGAAACUAAACCUGCACUCUCUGCUCCUCAUCUUCCAAAGCUACAGGCCGUUUGGGGAGAUUCUGAAUCUUAAUCCCUCUUUCCUCAUCAGAGUCAAUCCUAGAUUCAAGCUGAGUCACAACAUACCCAGGGACGGAGCCGGAGGGGAUGUUUACGAAGGAGUCAAUGUCUGAUUCAGAGGCGCGCUAAUGAGCAGCUUUCCCAUGAGAAGGAGCUCUCCCUUGGAACAAUAGCCUUGAAAUCUCCUUAAAUACUUAUGUAUUUAUUUAUUUAUUUAUUUAUUUAUUUACAGUAUUUAUAUUCCACCCUUCUCACCCCAAAGGGGACUCAGGGCGGAUUACAUUGUAUACGUAUAAGGCAAACACACCCAAGCAAAUGUUGGUGCUUCUUUUAUCAGGGAAUAACCUUGUUUCACCUCUAAGAUCACAUGGCUGCAUUAAAGCAUCUUUCUUUUUCUAGAAUAAGAAAAUGUGUUGCUAAGGCAACAGAAUGCUAGGCUCCGCACUAUCUCAUCUUUUCCUGUUCCCUGUCAUUCAAGUGAGUUUUUCUAUAUCAUUUCCCUUUUGACUACAGCUUUAGAAAGGCAGAAAUACAACAGCACAGAUGGAUGAGAAUCUUUCUGAAUUCACACCAGGGGACGAAUGCUACUGGAGUGAUCACUUAGAUUAAGCAGGAAAAGGUGCUUUAUCUUGAACCCCUUUUCAUAAUCUUCUCUAGAGAGUUUUAAAUAAUCGUAAGUGUUAAAUACUUAUUUUUAAAAUCAUCUGGAAGAGCAGAUCAUGACAAAGGUUUCAAGACAAAAAAAAACUCUUUGCUGUUGCAUUAUAAAACCAUUUCAAGUGAUAAAUACUACAAAUGCCCCAAUACCUGAAGGCACAAUGCCCCAAUACCCAUCAGAUCUUGGAAGUUCAGCAGGAUCAGACAUGAUUAGUACUUUGAUGAGAGGCCAACAACAAAUACUAGUUACUGUAGACUAAAUUUCAUAAUAAAAAAUUGAGAAAACCAUCUCUCAGUAUUUCUUAUCUCAUAAAACUCUAUAUGAUUCAUGGAGUUGACAUACAGAAAGUCAACCGAUGAAUUGAGGACACAUACAUAUACUAAGGCAUACACACAGCUGUUAAAGCUCUGGCAGAUGGACAAUGAAGAAAACUGGAAGAAAACCACCUCCUUUGAAAUGUGGUGCUCGAGGAAGAUACUGUAGAUACAGCAGACUCCCCUUAGAAAUAAAUGGAUGAGUCCUAAAGGAAAUCAAGCCUCAACUCUCCCUAGAAGACAAGUUGACUAAACUGAGACUGUCGUACUUUAACAUAUAAGAUGACAUGACUAAUUAAAAGAGACAAUAAUUCUCAAUAAAGGAAAAGACAGUAGUAAAGGGGGAAGGCCAUAUUACAUUUAGAUUGAAAAUCAAGGAAACCAUCACCCUGACUUUGUAAUAUCUGAGGGUAGUUGAUGACCAGGACUCUUGAAGGUCUUUUCUUCAUAGGUUCAUCACAAGUUGAAAUCAACUUGUCAGUAAAUAAUAACAACAGUGACACUUCUUAGGAGGCAUG
ensembl:lncRNA